rnacentral:rRNA from 1 species
UACGGAGGGGGUUAGCGUUGUUCGGAAUUACUGGGCGUAAAGCGCGCGUAGGCGGAUUAGUCAGUUAGAGGUGAAAUCCCAGGGCUCAACCCUGGAACUGCCUUUAAUACUGCUAGUCUUGAGUUCGAGAGAGGUGAGUAGAAUUCCGGGUGUAGAGGUGAAAUGCGUAGAGAUUCGGAGGAACACCAGUGGCGAAGGCGGCUCACUGGCUCGAUACUGACGCUGAGGUGCGAAAGUGUGGGGAGCAAACAGG